rnacentral:lncRNA from 1 species
UUCAAUACUUUUAAGUUCUAGGUCGCCCACCAGUAAAAUGCGGGAAUACUUUUAAGUUCUAAGUCGCCCACCAGUAAAAUGCAGGAAUACAUUUAAGUUCUAGGUCGCCCACCAGUAAAAUGCGGGAAUACUUUUAAGUUCUAGGUCGCCCACCAGUAAAAUGCGGGAAUACAUUUAAGUUCUAGGUCGCCCACCAGUAAAAUGCGGGAAUACAUUUAAGUUCUAGGUCGCCCACCAGUAAAAUGCGGGAAUACAUUUAAGUUCUAGGUCGCCCACCAGUAAAAUGCGGGAAUACUUU